rnacentral:rRNA from 1 species
AACGAACGCUGGCGGCAGGCCUAACACAUGCAAGUCGAACGCUCGUCUUUCAGCAAUGGGGACGGGAGUGGCAGACGGGUGAGUAACGCGUGGGAACGUACCCUUCGGUUCGGAACAACUCUGGGAAACUAGAGCUAAUACCGGAUACGUGCGAGAGCAGAAAGAUUUAUCGCCGGAGGAUCGGCCCGCGUCUGAUUAGCUAGUUGGUGGGGUAACGGCUCACCAAGGCGACGAUCAGUAGCUGGUCUGAGAGGAUGAUCAGCCACAUUGGGACUGAGACACGGCCCAAACUCCUACGGGAGGCAGCAGUGGGGAAUAUUGGACAAUGGGCGAAAGCCUGAUCCAGCCAUGCCGCGUGAGUGAUGAAGG